GCCAGCAGGCAUAUCACCCUGCAGCUCUCAACUGGCAACCUACUAAAGCUAAGCAGGGUUGAACCUGGUCAGUACCCGGAUGGGAGACCUCCUGGGAAGCUAGAGUUGCUGCUGGAA
rnacentral:rRNA from 1 species